AGUGAACGCUGGCGGUAGGCCUAACACAUGCAAGUCGAACGGCAGCACAGUAAGAGCUUGCUCUUACGGGUGGCGAGUGGCGGACGGGUCAGGAAUACAUCGGAAUCUACUUUUUCGUGGGGGAUAACGUAGGGAAACUUACGCUAAUACCUCAUACGACCUACGGGUGAAAGCAGGGGAUCUUCGGACCUUGCGCGAUUGAAUGAGCCGAUGUCGGAUUAGCUAGUUGGCGGGGUAAAGGCCCACCAAGGCGACGAUCCGUAGCUGGUCUGAGAGGAUGAUCAGCCACACUGGAACUGAGACACGGUCCAGACUCCUACGGGAGGCAGCAGUGGGGAAUAUUGGACAAUGGGCGCAAGCCUGAUCCAGCCAUACCGCGUGGGUGAAGAAGGCCUUCGGGUUGUAAAGCCCUUUUGUUGGGAAAGAAAAGCAGCAGGUUAAUACCCCGCUGUUCUGACGGUACCCAAAGAAUAAGCACCGGCUAACUUCGUG
rnacentral:rRNA from 1 species